UGGGGAAUAUUGCACAAUGGGCGCAAGCCUGAUGCAGCCAUGCCGCGUGUGUGAAGAAGGCCUUCGGGUUGUAAAGCACUUUCAGCGAGGAGGAAGGUGGUGAGCUUAAUACGCUCAUCAAUUGACGUUACUCGCAGAAGAAGCACCGGCUAACUCCGUGCCAGCAGCCGCGGUAAUACGGAGGGUGCAAGCGUUAAUCGGAAUUACUGGGCGUAAAGCGCACGCAGGCGGUUUGUUAAGUCAGAUGUGAAAUCCCCGGGCUCAACCUGGGAACUGCAUUUGAAACUGGCAAGCUAGAGUCUCGUAGAGGGGGGUAGAAUUCCAGGUGUAGCGGUGAAAUGCGUAGAGAUCUGGAGGAAUACCGGUGGCGAAGGCGGUCCCCCUGGACGAGGACUGACGCUCAGGUGCGAAAGCGUGGGGCAGCAAACAGGAUUAGAUACCCUGGUAGUCCAGCGCUGUAAACGAUGUCGAUUUGGAGGUUGUGCCCCUUGAGGCGUGGCUUCCGGAGCUAACGCGUUAAAAUCGACCGCC
rnacentral:rRNA from 1 species